AUGGAUGCCACAGCCAAUGAUGUGCCUUCUCCAUAUGAAGUCAGAGGGUAAGUGGAUUAAAACUUAACAAAAGUGUCGAGGCAAUAGAUAGGAAUAAAGCUUGUAACCACCAGGAAAUCAUUACUACACAUAGUUUUCAUAUUCCAGUUGAAGGCAGAACCACUGAUUCCUUCUUGGCUUAAGAGUUCUGCAGCAUGGGCCCACAUAACUGCUUGAAAUUAAUAAAUGUUUCUUUCCCCAGUUUUCCUACCAUAUACUUCUCUCCAGCCAACAAGAAGCUAAAUCCAAAGAAAUAUGAAGGUGGCCGUGAAUUAAGUGAUUUUAUUAGCUAUCUACAAAGAGAAGCUACAAACCCCCCUGUAAUUCAAGAAGAAAAACCCAAGAAGAAGAAGAAGGCACAGGAGGAUCUCUAAAGCAGUAGCCAAACACCACUUUGUAAAAGGACUCUUCCAUCAGAGAUGGGAAAACCAUUGGGGAGGACUAGGACCCAUAUGGGAAUUACUACCUCUCAGGGCCGAGAGGACAGAAUGGAUAUAAUCUGAAUCCUGUUAAAUUUUCUCUAAACUGUUUCUUAGCUGCACUGUUUAUGGAAAUACCAGGACCAGUUUAUGUUUGUGGUUUUGGGAAAAAUUAUUUGUGUUGGGGGAAAUGUUGUGGGGGUGGGGUUGAGUUGGGGGUAUUUUCUAAUUUUUUUGUACAUUUGGAACAGUGACAAUAAAUGAGACCCCUUUAAACUGUC
rnacentral:sRNA from 1 species